GAUGAACGCUGGCGGCGUGCCUAAUACAUGCAAGUCGAGCGAACAGACGAGGAGCUUGCUCCUCUGACGUUAGCGGCGGACGGGUGAGUAACACGUGGAUAACCUACCUAUAAGACUGGGAUAACUUCGGGAAACCGGAGCUAAUACCGGAUAAUAUAUUGAACCGCAUGGUUCAAUAGUGAAAGACGGUUUUGCUGUCACUUUAGAUGGAUCCGCGCCGUAUUAGCUAGUUGGUAAGGUAACGGCUUACCAAGGCAACGAUGCGUAGCCGACCUGAGAGGGUGAUCGGCCACACUGGAACUGAGACACGGUCCAGACUCCUACGGGAGGCAGCAGUAGGGAAUCUUCCGCAAUGGGCGAAAGCUCGACGGAGCAACGCCGCGUGAGUGAUGAAGGUCUUCGGAUCGUAAAACUCUGUUAUUAGGGAAGAACAAAUGUGUAAGUAACUAUGCACGUCUUGACGGUACCUAAUCAGAAAGCCACGGCUAACUACGU
rnacentral:rRNA from 1 species